rnacentral:lncRNA from 1 species
UGCUAACUGGCCUGUGGCUCUCCCGCACUGUCUGCAUUCACCAUCCUCCGUUAGCUGGUGCCGGCCUGUCUGUCCCAGUUCUUCACAGGCCACAUGCCACUCCAAGCUCACCAGACUACUGGGGGUUUCCCAGACACAAGCCUUAGGUGAAUUCUUUCACUGCCUGCACACUGGCCCAAUCCAAUCAGAAUGCACCACAAAAGGGAGGCCAGAAGGAGAGAUAAAAAGCCUGUUCUAGGCUGAGCAAGCAGCCGGUGCAUAGGCACAGAGGAAAGGUGAUCACAUUUAAUAUAUAAGAUGAAUGACUGGCUUCACCAUGAAAAGAAGUUUACAUCACUAUCUCCUUUGUAUUUCCCUUCGUGACUUUAAGAAACACUGAACAAGUCUGCACCUUAGUAAGAAGACUAGAAAAUCUGGAGAAA